GAUUAUGAUCGACUUGAUCUCAUAAUAGCUUGUAGAAAUAUCAGAUAAGUGGAUACAAGUCGAUGGAUUAUAGGUGAAAGGAAUAAAGUAUUCCUUCAUCUGCUUAGGUGGUUCAGCCAUUUGAUUUUCAGGUUUAACAUGGAUCAGUCAUUCAAUUCGGAUUGGGUUCAACUAAGUCAGAAAAAAGAGAUCUCCUACCAUGUAUGUACCAGUGCAAACCCUAAUAUGUGUG
rnacentral:lncRNA from 1 species